rnacentral:rRNA from 1 species
GAUUGAACGCUGGCGGCAUGCUUUACUACAUGCAAGUCGAACGGGGUUGGGAGCUUGCUUCCAAUCUAGUGGCGAACGGGUGAGUAAUACAUCGGAACGUACCGUGUAGUGGGGGAUAACGUAGCGAAAGUUACGCUAAUACCGCAUACGAUCCACGGAUGAAAGCAGGGGACCUUCGGGCCUUGUGCUAUACGAGCGGCCGAUGUCUGAUUAGCUAGUUGGUGAGGUAAAAGGCUCACCAAGGCGACGAUCAGUAGCGGGGUCUGAGAGGAUGAUCCGCCACACUGGGACUGAGACACGGCCCAGACUCCUACGGGAGGCAGCAGUGGGGAAUUUUGGACAAUGGGCGCAAGCCUGAUCCAGCCAUGCCGCGUGUCUGAAGAAGGCCUUCGGGUUGUAAAGGACUUUUGUCAGGGAGCAAAACUUACUGGUUAAUACCUGGUGAGGUUGAGAGUACC